GAUGAACGCUGGCGGCGUGCCUAAUACAUGCAAGUCGAGCGAACGGACGAGAAGCUUGCUUCUCUGAUGUUAGCGGCGGACGGGUGAGUAACACGUGGAUAACCUACCUAUAAGACUGGGAUAACUUCGGGAAACCGUAGCUAAUACCGGAUAAUAUUUUGAACCGCAUGGUUCAAUAGUGAAAGACGGUCUUGCUGUCACUUAUAGAUGGAUCCGCGCUGCAUUAGCUAGUUGGUAAGGUAACGGCUUACCAAGGCAACGAUGCAUAGCCGACCUGAGAGGGUGGUCGGCCACACUGGAACUGAGACACGGUCCAGACUCCUACGGGAGGCAGCAGUAGGGAAUCUUCCGCAAUGGGCGAAAGCCUGACGGAGCAACGCCGAGUGAGUGAUGAAGGUCUUCGGAUCGUAAAACUCUGUUAUUAGGGAAGAACAUAUGUGUAAGUAACUGUGCACAUCUUGACGGUACCUAAUCAGAAAGCCACGGCUAACUACGUG
rnacentral:rRNA from 1 species